rnacentral:rRNA from 1 species
UCAAGCUGUAAAGGGCGCAAGGGGAAUGCCUUGGCACUGAGAGCCGAUGAAGGACGCGACAAGCUGCGAUAAGCUUCGGGGAGCCGCAAAUGGGCUUUGAUCCGAAGAUUUCCGAAUGGGGAAACCCGGCAGAGCAAUACUCUGUCAACGUUAACUGAAUCCAUAGGUUAACGUAGGGAACCGCCUGAACUGAAACAUCUAAGUAGGGCGAGGAAAAGAAAUCAACCGAGAUUCCGCUAGUAGUGGCGAGCGAACGCGGAAGAGGCCAAACCGGAGAGAGCAAUCUUUCCGGGGUUUGGACAGCAAUGUGUAGUCAUGGAAUUAGCCGAAUACGUUGGGAAGCGUAGCAACAUAGGGUGAUAGCCCCGUAGGUGAAAAGGAAGUGACGCUAGCUGGAUCCAGAGUACCACAGGACACGUGAAACCCUGUGGGAAUAUGGGGGGACCAUCCUCCAAGCCUAAAUACUACUCAGUGACCGAUAGAGAAGCAGUACCGUGAGGGAAAGGUGAAAAGGACCCCGGGAGGGGAGUGAAAAAGAACCUGAAACCUUGUGCCUACAAGCACCGAGAGCUCGUUAAUGAGUGAUCGGGUACUUUUUGUAGAACGGUCCGGCGAGUUAAUGUAAGUAGCAAGCUUAAGGUACUGGAGUACUGGAGGCGCAGCGAGAGCGAGUCUGAAUAGGGCGACUAAGUUACUUGCAUUAGACCCGAAACCGGGUGACCUAUCCAUGAGCAGGCUGAAGCGGUGGUAAGACACCGUGGAGGGCCGCACCCACGUCCGUUGAAAAGGCCGGGGAUGACUUGUGGAUAGCGGAGAAAUUCCAAUCGAACUCGGAUAUAGCUGGUUCUCCCCGAAAUAGCUUUAGGGCUAGCGUUAUGAUAGAUUACCGGAGGUAAAGCACUGAAUGGGCUAGGGGCCGCGAGGUUACUGAACCCUAUCAAACUAAGAAUGCCGGAUAAUUGUUUCAUAGCAGUCAGACUACGUGAGAUAAGUCUCGUGGUCAAAAGGGAAACAGCCCAGAUCCGCAGCUAAGGUCCCAAAUAGAUGCUAAGUGGAAAAUGAUGUGAAACUGCGAAAACAACCAGGAUGUUGGCUUAGAAGCAGCCACUCAUUCAAAGAGUGCGUAAUAGCUCACUGGUCGAGUGGUUUUGCGCAGAAAAUGUAACGGGGCUAAGCAUCUAACCGAAGCUCGGGCAGUAUCUAAUACUGGGUAGGGGAGCGUUGUGUACGGAACGAAGUCAGAGCGAAAGCACUGGUGGACUUUACACAAGUGAGAAUGCCGGAAUAAGUAGCGAGAAUUAUGUGAGAAUCAUAAUGGCCGAAAAUCUAAGGUUUCUUGGGGAAGGUUCGUCCGCCCAAGGUUAGUCGGGAGCUAAGGCGAGGCCUAACGGCGUAGUCGAUGCACAUACGGUAGAAAUUCCGUAACCACCGAACUUUAAGCAUAAGGGACGCUUUCAUUAAGGUUAUCCCGGGCGAUGGUUGCCCCGGGCGUAAGGGACCGAAAUAUAGUAGGGAAGUAACUGGCGUGAGAGACGAGAAAAGCUUAUGUGUAUACUAAGGUGCCCGUACCGCAAACCGACACAGGUAGAUGGGAUGAGUAUUCUAAGGCCAACGGGAGAAGGGUUGUUAAGGAACUCGGCAAAUUGGCCCCGUAACUUCGGGAUAAGGGGCGCCUGCGAGAGCAGGCCGCAGUGAAAAGGCCCAAGCGACUGUUUAGCAAAAACACAGCUCUCUGCUAAAUCGAAAGAUGAUGUAUAGGGGGUGACGCCUGCCCGGUGCUGGAAGGUUAAGGGGAGUGCUUAGCGCAAGCGAAGGUGCGAACUUAAGCCCCAGUAAACGGCGGCCGUAACUAUAACGGUCCUAAGGUAGCGAAAUUCCUUGUCAGGUAAGUUCUGACCCGC